UACGUAGGGACCAAGCGUUGUUCGGAUUUACUGGGCGUAAAGGGCGCGUAGGCGGCCCCACAAGUCACUUGUGAAAUCUCCGGGCUUAACUCGGAACGGCCAAGUGAAACUGUGGAGCUAGAGUGUGGAAGGGGCAAUCGGAAUUCUUGGUGUAGCGGUGAAAUGUGUUGAUAUUGGAAGGAACACCGGAGGCGAAAGCGGUGCACUGGGGUUGGUCUGACGCUGAGGCACGAAAGCCAGGGGAGCGAACGGG
rnacentral:rRNA from 1 species